GGGUUGUGAGGUUAAGCGACUAAGCGUACACGGUGGAUGCCCUGGCAGUCAGAGGCGAUGAAGGACGUGCUAAUCUGCGAUAAGCGUCGGUAAGGUGAUAUGAACCGUUAUAACCGGCGAUUUCCGAAUGGGGAAACCCAGUGUGAUUCGUCACACUAUCAUUAACUGAAUCCAUAGGUUAAUGAGGCGAACCGGGGGAACUGAAACAUCUAAGUACCCCGAGGAAAAGAAAUCAACCGAGAUUCCCCCAGUAGCGGCGAGCGAACGGGGAGCAGCUCAGAGCCUGAAUCAGU
rnacentral:rRNA from 1 species